AUACGUAGGUGACAAGCGUUAUCCGGAUUUACUGGGCGUAAAGGGCGUGUAGGCGGUCUUGCAAGUCAGAAGUGAAAUUCCUGAGCUCAACUCGGGCGCUGCUUCUGAAACUGCAGGACUUGAGUGCUGGAGGGGAUAGCGGAAUUCCUAGUGGAGCGGUAAAAUGCGCAGAUAUUAGGAAGAACACCGGUGGCGAAGGCGGCUAUCUGGACAGUAGCUGAUGCUGAGGCGCGAAAGCGUGGGGAGCAAACAGGAUUAGAUACCCUGGCCGUCCACGCGGUAAACGAUGAGUGCUAGGUGUUGCGGGUAUCGACCCCUGCAGUGCCGGAGUAAACACAAUAAGCAUUCCGCCUGGGGAGUACGGCCGCAAGGUUGAAACUCAAAUGAAUUGUCGGG
rnacentral:rRNA from 1 species